ACGCAAGGUCGCGGCGCGCUGGGCUGUAGGGACUAUGAAAGCCAGAAGAAAGAAAAAAGUCAAGGACGCUGAGUCUCUCCGGCUUCCGUUUUCUUGGACCGGAAGGGCUCCCGAAACAGGGACAUUUGAAUUUUGAUUUUAAAUUCAGACACCAAAAAGUGGCGAAUCUGCUGACCGUGAACGCUAGUCGGCUUCGCAAACCAGCGCGACUGGACGCGGGCGCGCGCUGCGGCGUCGCAGGAGCUGUCGUCCCUGCAGCGCCCUGCGGGGGCGACCCGACUAGGCCUGGGUGCUGUCUCGGAGAAGGCAAUAGGACUAGGUAAUAAUAAUAGGAAGAUCCCCUCAGCCACCCGUGCGCAGCACCUGACACCUGCAGCCGCUAACUGCAGGUUUUUGGCGUGGCAGUUAGAGGCCCUGCCCCCUUGGCGCCGCCUGGCUGUGUGCAGCUGAUCACCUUCCUGUGACGGGCAGUGAGGACCGGCGUCCAGAUCCUGCUGAUUUGGUUUCCAUUGUUGGUGCUUGGAGUUUGACCCACCGCCCACAAGCAGGCCAUGGUUCUUUCCACCUUGAUACGUGACGUGACAUCUGGGAAAACUAGCAAGAGCAUCGAGAAAGACAAGCAGAGGGAGCAGGGAGCAGAGUCCCUUUCGGACGGGCCGGAAGCCCUGCCAUUCAAUCCCCACCCACUCAGCUCUCGGGGGCUGCCAUCCUUGGGAGACCUCAACUUCAGCCAGCAACUAGAAACCACGAGAUUGGCACCUACACAAAUGGAACUUCUCUAAGUGUGUUUUAUUGUCUGUCACUGGGUGUCCGCAUUGUUUGAAAAGGAAAACAAACGCUGACUUUUAUUCCAUGAA